rnacentral:sRNA from 1 species
GCGUCGGUCGACGGGUAGGCCCCGAGU